rnacentral:lncRNA from 1 species
AUGGCUAGGCAAACCUUCCCUCUCUUUGGCAAAUUCCCACCUAGACCACCAUCUCCAGAACAAGACCACACAGAGACGGAGGACUCCAAAAAGUCAAAAGAGAGGAAAACAUGCUGGGAUAGAAUAAAAUGCUCAUGUUGUAAGAAAAAGAAGAAAGAGCCCAUGCCAGAGUCUGAUGAAUCUGUGAAAUCCGGAGAUGAAACUAUAAUAAUGCCUCCAGAUGACAAAACUGUUGGAGUUGGGGAAUACGAUCCACUUGAAGAUGAAGCCAAAGGAGUGAGACACUACGUCAGUGAAUCGCGCCACAUCACCACGUAUCCUUCGUCACAACUCCCUGCCUCUCCGAAAGAAAAACCAAAGAGAAAGAAGAAGACAGGUGCUGAACAGGCUCAGUCAUCCGUAUCUGAUGCUUCCAACCAACCGAUUGGCGAAUCGUCCAGAUCACUGAAAGGGAUUUUGAAAAGCUCUGAGGAAAGAGUGCGAGCUAGCAAAUCCCUUUCCAUCACACCAUCAGAAAGGGAUGCGGCAAAGACUCUUCCAGAGGUGAUGUCAAAACAGUCGACUGUUCAUUUCAGAAGUGAAGAGAUCUCAACAAGCAAUGAAAGUGUUUUCCAGCCAUCUUCUGCGGAAACGGCUCCUAAAUCACCAGCCAAAGAAAUCCUCAAAAAAGGGCCUCCUUCUCCCACGAUGCCUGAUGGGUCUCCCACGGCUCCUCCUCCCUUGGCUGGGGCACCUCCACAAAAAGCUGCAGUAGAAGAUUCCGGAAAAGGACCGGAAGAGGCCACCUUACAAGUUGGGGCAGAAAUGUCACCCCCUAAGCCACCUUCUCCUUACUCUGCAGACCAAGCAACGUCACCCACCAAACCUCAACUCUCUUCAGAGAAAACGAAGCCCACAUCUCCAUCGGAAACCCAUCAAGCUCAAAAAGAGGCCGAAGCCGUUCCCAUCACUUCUCUCAGAAAUCAGAGGCGAGCGCACCUCUUUGCCAGAGCUAGCGCACCAUCUCGAAGGACUAUCAGAGAAAAAGAAGAAGUUGGGAAAAGUUCUGGAGAUGAUUCUGGGGAAAAAGAGGUCAAACAAGAAACUCGGGCUAGGCCCCCACCUCAGCAUCCGGCCAUUCGGGAACUGCCACUUGUAGAGCAAACCCACGACGAGAAGACUCAAACAGAACCACUCACCGAAGAAUUCAGCAUGGAGGAGGUCCCUUUGCCCACCUUGUUUCCAGAACCCAAAAGCCCCUCGCCGAAGUUGACCAGAGAGAGCCGGCUCCAUGAUGUUAUCAUGGAAGGUGCUAGUAGAGAAAGAGGAACAGUCAGGUUUUCUCCAGUGGUAACGACGACACCAAUUCUAGGAAGGCAACCGGAAGGGAAAAAAUCUGCACCACUUCCUGGAGCAAAAUGGGUCCACAAAUUCUUUUUAUAA